AUCGAGCAUGGUAGCACAUGCCUGCAAUCUGUACUGGGAGGCUAAGGCUGGCAGGUCUCUUGAGCUCAGAGUUCUCAGCUGAAGUGGGCUAUGCUGACUGGAUGUCUACCCUAAAUUUGAAAUUAAUAUGGUGAACUUCUGGGAAUGGGGAACCACCAGGUUGCCUACAGGGGGGAGGAGAGACCCAGGCAGAAACAGAGCAGAUCAAAGCCCCUGAUCUAUUCAGUAGUUGAAUCGGGCCUCUGAGAGGUACUCACACUUCCAGGCUAGCAGAGAUAAGGAAGACACACUUUU
rnacentral:SRP_RNA from 1 species